GACGAACGCUGGCGGCGUGCUUAACACAUGCAAGUCGAACGGAAAGGCCCUGCUUUUGUGGGGUGCUCGAGUGGCGAACGGGUGAGUAACACGUGAGUAACCUGCCCUUGACUUUGGGAUAACUUCAGGAAACUGAGGCUAAUACCGGAUAGGAGCUCCUGCUGCAUGGUGGGGGUUGGAAAGUUUCGGCGGUUGGGGAUGGACUCGCGGCUUAUCAGCUUGUUGGUGGGGUAGUGGCUUACCAAGGCUUUGACGGGUAGCCGGCCUGAGAGGGUGACCGGCCACAUUGGGACUGGGAUACGGCCCAGACUCCUACGGGAGGCAGCAGUGGGGAAUAUUGCACAAUGGGCGGAAGCCUGAUGCAGCAACGCCGCGUGCGGGAUGACGGCCUUCGGGUUGUAAACCGCUUUCGCCUGUGACGAAGCGUGAGUGACGGUAAUGGGUAAAGAAGCACCGGCUAACUACGUG
rnacentral:rRNA from 1 species